rnacentral:rRNA from 1 species
CCUACGGGUGGCUGCAGUGGGGGAUAUUGCACAAUGGAGGAAACUCUGAUGCAGCAACGCCGCGUGAGGGAAGAAGGUCUUCGGAUCGUAAACCUCUGUCCUCAGGGACGAUAAUGACCGUACCUGAGGAGGAAGCUCCGGCUAACUACGUGCCAGCAGCCGCGGUAAUAAGUUGGGAGGAAGCGUUGUCCGGAAUUACUGGGUGGAAAGGGUGCGGAGGCGGCCCUGUAAGGUCUGUGUGAAAAGUCUAGGCUUAACUCAUAGAUUGCACUUGAAACUGUGGGGCUUGAGUGAAGUAGAGGCGGGUGGAAUUCCCGGUGUAGCGGUGAAAUGCGUAGAGAUCGGGAAGAACACCAGUGGCGAAGGCGGCCUGCUGGGCUUUAACUGACGCUGAGGCACGAAAGCGUGGGUAGCAAACAGGAUUAGAUACCCUUGUAGUC